UACAGAGGUCCCAAGCGUUGUUCGGAUUCACUGGGCGUAAAGGGUGCGUAGGUGGUGAGGUAAGUUGGAUGUGAAAUCUCCAAGCUCAACUUGGAAACUGCAUUGGAAACUACCUUGCUAGAGGAUUUGAGGGGGGAUUGGAAUACUUGGUGUAGCAGUGAAAUGCGUAGAUAUCAAGUGGAACACCAGUGGCGAAGGCGAAUCCCUGGAAAAUACCUGACACUGAGGCACGAAAGCUAGGGGAGCAAACAGG
rnacentral:rRNA from 1 species